ACUUCAUUUUCGAAUGGUUCCGUUCACAUUUGUUAUUCAUUUGAGAUGUUGUAUUUACCAGUUACUGCAUUAUAUUUACCACUAUUGCAAGAUGUUUGUUUAUGAAAUACUACUGUUUUGUUUAUCUGGAAUGUUGUGUGGGAGUCCAUCAGGAAUUGCUGGUCUGCAGUAAAUUUGUCAGGCUAGGUGAUGAACAUUAAUGAAUCAGAAAAUGUUUUGCAUGGGUGGUGAAUGUUCUGACAGUUUUAACAGUUGUGAUGUGGUGUAUUUUACUUCCACGCAUCAUGUAGAAGUUGGUGACCUGAUACAAUGAACAUGGAAAAAUCACCUGCGCCUACGUUGACGAUGAUACCUGUACCGAAGUGCUGGAAACUAAAAUUAAAUUUUCUUUACAAUUUGGUUUCAGGCUAUCUUCAUAAUUUUUUAAUAGUUUUGCAUUUAUUGAUGAAUCCGCAAGCUCAUAGCUGAUUUCCUCCUUUAGAAACCGCCCGUCGACGAUUUGGCAGCCUCACACAAUUAAAGAA